rnacentral:rRNA from 1 species
UACGUAGGGUGCAAGCGUGUCCGGAAUUAUUGGGCGUAAAGAGCUCGUAGGUGGCCUGUCGCGUCGGCUGUGAAAACUCGGGGCUCAACUCCGAGCUUGCAGUCGAUACGGGCAGGCUAGAGUUCGGCAGGGGAGACUGGAAUUCCUGGUGUAGCGGUGAAAUGCGCAGAUAUCAGGAGGAACACCGGUGGCGAAGGCGGGUCUCUGGGCCGAUACUGACACUGAGGAGCGAAAGCGUGGGGAGCGAACAGG